rnacentral:rRNA from 1 species
GAUGAACGCUAGCGGCAGGCUUAACACAUGCAAGUCGAGGGGUAGAGUUAGCUUGCUAACUUGAGACCGGCGCACGGGUGCGUAACGCGUAUGCAAUCUACCUUGUACAGAGGGAUAGCCCAGAGAAAUUUGGAUUAAUACCUCAUAGUAUCUUCGGAGGGCAUCUUCUGAUUAUUAAAGUUCCAACGGUACAAGAUGAGCAUGCGUCCCAUUAGCUAGAUGGUAAGGUAACGGCUUACCAUGGCAACGAUGGGUAGGGGUCCUGAGAGGGAGAUCCCCCACACUGGUACUGAGACACGGACCAGACUCCUACGGGAGGCAGCAGUGAGGAAUAUUGGUCAAUGGGCGCAAGCCUGAACCAGCCAUGCCGCGUGCAGGAAGACGGUCCUAUGGAUUGUAAACUGCUUUUAUACGGGAAGAAACACUGCUACGUGUAGCAGCUUGACGGUACCGUAAGAAUAAGCAUCGGCUAACUCCGUGCCAGCCGCCGCAGUAACAC